rnacentral:rRNA from 1 species
GGAUUCUCUUAGUAACGGCGAGUGAAAAGAGAAGAGCCCAACAUCGAAGCCUCUACACAUUUGUGUAGACGGCAAUGUGAUGUAAUGGUCUUCGACUUCACAUGCUGGCUAACUUGAAGUCCAUAUUUGACUGUGGCUUGCGCGUAUGCACCCAGAGAUGGUGAAAGGCCCGUUCAAGUUGGUUUUCAGAUGUGACAGCUUGUGUAGAUUCGUUGACCAAUGAGUCGGAUUGCUUGAGAGUGCAGUCCAAAUGUGGUGGUAAACUCCAUCAAAGGCUAAAUACUGUUACGAGUCCGAUAGAUAACAAGUACCGUGAGGGAAAGUUGAAAAGUACUCUGAAGAGAGAGUAAAUAGUACGUGAAACUACAUGGAGGUUAAACAGAUGGAGUCAAGCUGUAUGCUGUUGUUCAAUGCAUUGGUCGUACGGUAUUACCUUUGUAUAGCACUGAGAUGUCGUUAGACAUGACCACUUGUGGUUUUGCGGGCAUUAAGUUGCCUGGCCUUAGUGUUUUACAUAUACGACUAGUGUUUAUGGCAGCAGCAGGUGCCACAGUCAAUUAUAUCUUCGGUGAGAUGUGUUCAGCAUUUGCGCUGGUGAACGAUUGCUCAUUAGUGCAAUAGUUAAACAGCUGGCUUGCUUUCAUCCUUGUAUGUUGGCUUGCCUAAAAGGGCCAAGGCCUGUUGAAUACAUCAUCGCAGUGAGAAUGAUUGGUGAUAUGUGCUCUUUAAUUUCUUGAAGCUGAGCAACUUUGUUGUCAUGUUUCAUGAAUGAGUGUAUGAAC